UACAGAGGGUGCAAGCGUUAAUCGGAAUUACUGGGCGUAAAGCGCGCGUAGGUGGUUUGUUAAGUUGGAUGUGAAAGCCCCGGGCUCAACCUGGGAACUGCAUCCAAAACUGGCAAGCUAGAGUACGGUAGAGGGUGGUGGAAUUUCCUGUGUAGCGGUGAAAUGCGUAGAUAUAGGAAGGAGCACCAGUGGCGAAGGCGACCACCUAGACUGAUACUGACACUGAGGUGCGAAAGCGUGGGGAGCAAACAGG
rnacentral:rRNA from 1 species